rnacentral:piRNA from 1 species
UGAUAGACAGUUCUGUCCCUCUGCACCAC